GAUUGUCCAGGCUGGGACUGUCCAGGCUGGAGGCCCGCGGGAAGCACGGAAAAUCUGAGCAGCCAGUUCAAGGGAUCAGUGAGAGGAAAGAGAACUUUCCUGGCAGGUUGCUGUUCCAGCCUGGGGAUUUAAGAGCACCCUGGAGCUACAAAGUUUAUUAGAACCCAUAAGAAGAACUGUACCAUAAACGGGACAACUGUGGCCAUAAACCUGCACCUUGAAGUUGUAACAAAUCCUGGGAUGUUGAAGUAGGACACGGUCUUGUCUCAGUCAGCAGAAAGGAAAAGAAAAAAAAAAGGAAAGAAAGAGAAGAAAUGCAAACUUAAGCAGAAAUGAGGCCUGGAAAUAUAGAGAGGAAGAAAGGGGGAAAAAAAAUAAUAAUAAAGCAAAGCGUGGUGCUUGCAGAGCCCGCUCAGCUGGAGCCCUGGGCCAGGUGCCCAUGGGAUGCAACUCAGAUUAAUGGGGAGAGAGAGAGCAGGGAGCUGCAGGAGGAGGGGAGAGGUGAAAGGAAGGAGGUGCUGGGGGGAUUCGCGAGGCCAGGGAGGGUCCCUGCACUGAGGGAGGCGAUGCUGCUCACGGGGCUCAAGGCAGGUGAGCAGCUCGGUGCCUCCUGUCACCUUGGGGUGAGCCCCAAAGGAGGAACAGCCGGAGGGGACAGUCCCAGGGGUUUGUGACAGAAGUGGGGGGAUGCUGCUGGGCGCCCCUCGCUGUGAGGGAGGAUGUGGUGGACAAUGGGUUUCCUGCACCUCUUCCCUCCGGGCUCUCCUCUCUUUAACUCCUCUGCUUUAUUUUACUGUCACUUAUUCAGGUCUCAUUUCCUUCAUCGGCAGCCAAAAGCUUUUCAGCGGCCGAGCCUCCGAGCUCUCGGCACUUGCCCAUGGCCAGCGAGGGGGGCCGGGCUGUGUGCUUGGAGCAUCCCCUGCCUCCCGCAGCCUCACAGGACUCGCGGGAUCCCUCCGGGCCCCCCGCACACCACAGCGGCUCAGGAGCCAGCAGAGCCCCGGCCCGCCCCGCCAGCCUGCACUCUUUUGUCACAUCGGGUUGUUUUUCCCGCUGUUGAAUAGAUUAAAUGACAGAGGGCUUUUUUUGUUUUUAAA